GUCAAGAACCCGCCACUUAAACUCCGAAGAGUUUUGAAGUGGGGGCUUGUGGAAAACAACAAACCUGCUUGACUGCCCUAAGUGCUUCGGGCACUGCGUUACCCGGGAAUAGAUAGGCGCCGGCGGACGCGCAUCCGAAUCUGCCGCUCUGCG
rnacentral:ncRNA from 12 species